rnacentral:SRP_RNA from 1 species
AAUCGGGCGCAGCUCAAGGCUCAGGCACCCAACCCCGCCAGGCCCGGAAGGGAGCAACGGUAAGUGUACUGGGUCUGUGAGACUGUUAGCUCGGUUGGA